UGCAACUACAUGGUUCAUAGUUGGCCUUUGAAUGGAAAUUGAUGGCACACAUGACAUUGCUAUCUCCACGAAUUUCCAUACAGAAUUGGUAUCAAAAUUUCCAUCUAGUCUUGGAUCAACCACAUUUCUUAUAUCCCCUCUUUCGAUAUAUGGGCUUACCCAAUUAACAAUAUGAAUGUUCUGAUCAUGGUUUUUGAUUACUGCAGAUUGGCCUGUGAUCAGCUCUAGAAGAACUAUUCCAAAGCUGUAAACAUCGCUUCUCUCAGUUAGCCUGCCGGAUGAGUAAUAUCUACAGAAACCAGCAAAAGAAAGUAGAAUCAAUUCCUUCACCUUCGGUAAGAAUUGAAGUUAUAGGCAUAUGCAGACUUGAGACUUACUCUGGAUCAAGGUAACCAACGGUGCCAACAACUCCGGUUGACAAAUGACUCUUACUGUCAGAUGGGAAAAUUUUUGAGAACCCAAAAUCAGCUAUCUUGGCCUGUAAAUUAUCGUUCAACAAAAUGUUGGCGCUUUUCACAUCUCUGUGAACUAUGGGUGGCUUGCAUCCAUUGUGCAAGUACUCUAGCCCUGCACAAUCGUUUUGUUAUUAGAUUAACCAACAUGAACAGAUGUGGUUAUGAGAAGUUUGAUUCUUUUUAGUUUCUUGACCUUGUGCUGCCUCCAAUGCAAUCUGCACCCUCUCUUUCCAACUCAGGACCUGCACUGCUUUAUCUGCAGGCAUAAUAUGAAUUAGUAUAAAAAACUCUGUUGUUUCUUUUUAUUUGCUUAGAGAUCGAAGGCUGAUUUGGGUAAAUAUGCAGGAAUUUGGAAAUGGGUUGAAGAGAUAUGGUACCCAAUAGAUAAUUUUCUAAAUUUCCACAGGCCAUGUAUUCAUAGACAAUCCCUGUGUUUCUGCUUUCAUUACAAUAACCAAUGAAUGAAGCUAAGUUCCUGUGAUGAACUCUCAUCAAGAGGUGAGCCUGUGAAAAAUUUUAUUCAAGCAGAAACAAUAUUAUAUGGCAAUCACACAUAAUAACACCUGAAAUUGAGUUGGGAUAUGAUUAUCAGACCUCAGUUCGAAAUUGAGCUGAGCCAUGAUCUGAUGUUGGAGAAAGCAUUUUGACAGCAACUUGGGUAUCAUCACUUAAGUAGCCAUGGUAGACUGUUCCAAAUCCCCCCUUCCCAAUAACAGUGCUAAAGUUGUUGGUAAUUCUUACAAUCUCAGCAUAUGUGAAUUGUCUGUUGUCUGACUUCAAUGACGACCCUUCUUCUUUGUGGCGAUCUAUGAACUUCCGUGCAACUUCAUAAAACAUUGCAAUUCUUUAUUAGCAUAGCUAUUAAUAGUUAAGCUACCAUGGAAAUAUGUUUUCUUUUAUUUUUUCAAAUUCAAUAAUCAUUGAGCUAAAUACAGGUACCAUUUUUUCUUUUGUAAAUACACAGGAUCACCAGUGCCAUUGCCAUGAGGAUGACUACCAAUGGAACAAUGGUUGCAACUAUUGGAACCCAAGCACGCUUCCUCUCUUCUUUACAUGGAGACAAC
rnacentral:lncRNA from 1 species